rnacentral:sRNA from 1 species
ACACACGAAGGGAGGUGGUUCGAAGCAUGAGUUGCAGUCGGACACGUGAGGUGGCUGCGGGCUAGCACCGCGCACUGGGCGUGCGCGAUGCGCGCCAAUCCCACGCAGUACACCCGACCCGCGGGCUCGUCGGACUUGUCCGGCCGGUGCUCGGAGCCGUCAAAGGCUCCGGGGAGCAGCCCGCGGGUCGUUCGCG